rnacentral:rRNA from 1 species
CUGGAGGUAUCAGAAGUGCGAAUGCUGACAUAAGUAACGAUAAAGCGGGUGAAAAGCCCGCUCGCCGGAAGACCAAGGGUUCCUGUCCAACGUUAAUCGGGGCAGGGUGAGUCGACCCCUAAGGCGAGGCCGAAAGGCGUAGUCGAUGGGAAACAGGUUAAUAUUCCUGUACUUGGUGUUACUGCGAAGGGGGGACGGAGAAGGCUAUGUUGGCCGGGCGACGGUUGUCCCGGUUUAAGCGUGUAGGCUGGUUUUCCAGGCAAAUCCGGAAAAUCAAGGCUGAGGCGUGAUGACGAGGCACUACGGUGCUGAAGCAACAAAUGCCCUGCUUCCAGGAAAAGCCUCUAAGCAUCAGGUAACAUCAAAUCGUACCCCAAACCGACACAGGUGGUCAGGUAGAGAAUACCAAGGCGCUUGAGAGAACUCGGGUGAAGGAACUAGGCAAAAUGGUGCCGUAACUUCGGGAGAAGGCACGCUGAUAUGUAGGUGAAGUCCCUCGCGGAUGGAGCUGAAAUCAGUCGAAGAUACCAGCUGGCUGCAACUGUUUAUUAAAAACACAGCACUGUGCAAACACGAAAGUGG